rnacentral:tRNA from 1 species
CAAAAUGUAGCUUAACUAAAGCACCUCGCUUACACCGAGGACAUGUCUGUUAAACUCAGAUCAUCUUGA